rnacentral:lncRNA from 1 species
CUAUGAUGCUCUCAGUCACUAUAUCAUGUCUCUGCCUUUAUCCCUAUAAGCCACUUCCCCAACCAUUCCAAAACACUCCUGACUACUGUUGAUGCCCCUGACACUCUCACAGUCUCUCUCUGAUCCUCCUUGAGAUGCACAUGGUCUCUCUGAGAUGCUCUCAUCUCCAUAGGUCGUCAGGCCUCUUUUAUAAAAUCAAAACCCACUCCAGAUUGGAACCACAGUCCUUAUUGAAGUCUAGAAACAUCUUGACUAGUCGAUCGCUUCUGUAUGCUUCUCUAAACCACCCAAUCAUGCUCCUGCCCAUC